rnacentral:lncRNA from 1 species
AGCUGAGGGAGCCGGCUGCGGCCUUCGCCAGCCCAGAAAGGGGCUCCUACAGUGCAGUGGCGGGCUGAAGGGCUGCUCAAGCGCCGCCAAAGUGGGAGCCCAGGCAGAGGAGGCGCCCAGAGCGAGCGAGGGCUGUGAGGACUGCCAGCACGCUGUCACCUCUCACUCAUAUAGAUUGCCAAUCUAUUUGUGAACCAGGUUUGCUGGAGUUUGGAUUUACUACUGAGUCAUAUUUGGAGCAUGCUGGAAUCUUACAACUGAGAUUACCGAGUCAGAAACUAGUUUGACUGUUCUCGUCGGCAUGGUUGAGACAUUAUCCCUGGCAGAAGGCUGGACUGGCAUGGACAUCAUUUGAUGAGUUCGUCUCCUCUUAACAAUCAAAGCCUGUUUUCCAGUGCGAAUAAACUGUUGCCUUAUAUAUUGUUUUCCCAUUUUUAUAGUUGUUUACUGCAAAAAAGAGUCUGGUACAAGUUACUUUGCUAAAACCUUGAUAAAGUUUUAUUCUACGAUUCUUCAAUCAAUGUUUCUGUUUUGUUUAUUCUGUUAUCUCUGUUGUGUCAUACCAUAAUUCUCUCAUUAAU